UCUCUGCUUUCUGACUGGCUAGUAGUCCCUUACCUAGGUACUGUCAGGACCCUCAUACUCUGCUUCUGACUGGCUAUAUCCUUUACCUAGUUACUGUCAGGGACCCUCAUACUCUUCUCCUGAC